UUGUAAGAGUGAGAGGGGUAAAACUGAGUAUUUUAGCCCUAUUUUUUUUGAAAUAUAAGUAGUUUUGAUAAUUUUACUAAAUUUGAAGAGUAUUUUUAUAUUAAUAAUUUUUUGGAGGAUAUAUUCAUAUAAUUAGGGGUUGGUGAGAGGGUACCUUUGAAAUUGAUCUUUUAUUAUAAGGUAAACUUCAAAUACCAUCUCUGUAGUUUCGCACUUUUUCACUUUAGUAUCCUAUGGUUUAAAGCGUUUCAAGUUAGUGUCAUGUGGUUUCAUUUUUAUCUUUUUGUCGGCUUUUUCGUUAAUAUUUCGUUAAAUUAUAUACAAAAAACUUCAAAUACCCCACCUAAGUUUAUCUAAUAUUCACUUUGGUACUCUUUAGUUUUAACUUUGUCACUGAUUUAAUAAAAAAAUUUAGUGAAAUCGAUAAUAAAAAAAUAAAAAUAAAACCACAAAGUACUAAAUUAAUACACUUUAAACUAUAAUGUACUAAUAAAGUAAAAAAAUGUAAAAUCAUAUUGGUGAUAUUUGAAGUUUUUUUUUUAUUAUAAGUAACUUUUGAUGUU
rnacentral:lncRNA from 1 species